rnacentral:sRNA from 1 species
UGAUCGCAGUGGGGUGUUAGUCUCGAA